UGGAUUAGGUGUCUUUUAGGUACCCUGUC
rnacentral:piRNA from 1 species